rnacentral:rRNA from 1 species
GAUGAAUGCUGGCGGCGUGCCUAAUACAUGCAAGUCGAGCGGCAAGGCCCUUCGGGGUACACGAGCGGCGGACGGCUGAGUAACGCGUGGGAACAUGCCCCAAAGUGAGGGAUAACGCACCGAAAGGUGUGCUAAUACCGCAUAUGGUCUUCGGAUUAAAGGAUUUAUCCGCUUUGGGAGUGGCCCGCGUACGAUUAGAUUGUUGGUGAGGUAACGGCUCACCAAGUCGACGAUCGUUAACUGGUCUGAGAGGAUGAUCAGUCAGACUGGAACUGAGACACGGUCCAGACUCCUACGGGAGGCAGCAGUAAGGAAUCUUCCACAAUGGGCGAAAGCCUGAUGGAGCAACGCCGCGUGCAGGAUGAAGGCCCUCGGGUCGUAAACUGCUUUAUGAGUGAAGAAUAUGACGGUAACUCAUGAAUAAGCACCGGCUAACUACGUGCCAGCAGCCGCGGUAAU